GGCCCGGUGGUGGAGAUGCUUCCGAGACGAAAGCACAGAAAGCAAAUGCAGAACUUCCCUGCCUCUCCGUCCUUCCCUCAUUUUGAACAGAGACAGCAGCUACCUGUGACUGCCCUGGGGUGAAUGUGCAGCAUCUGGGGUAAAUUUCUUCCCACGCCUGCCCGCAGCAGUCGAGACAGAAGCUGGCACAGGGCUGCCCUUCUUGUGAGCCAGGCAGCAAAAACCAGGCGCUGAGGCUCAGAACUGCUGACUCAAGCCUCCAUGAAGGAACAGAAAUCCAGAAAGCCGGGCCAGAAAUAGCAUCCGUGAGCAUCUAUUGAUAGCAUAAAGUCCGUGGGCAGAGUCCCAGUUCCCACCCUGAGUCCUGCCAAACAGUGCUGCAACAGUCAGCGUUCUGGCCACAGAGAGUGAGGAUGCAGGAUGGCUCGGCCCAUUUCCCCAACUACGUCAGUCUGGACAGAUGUCUCAGGCUGUGUUGGCAGAGGCACUGCUGGUACCACGUGCCAACCUCGGGACAAGCUGCCUCCUCUUGGAAAUGAAGCAGGGACGAUGCACCAGGGAAUCAUGUCAUCAAGUCAGCCGUGUCAACACGCGUUUAUGGAAUGGAAUGGAAUAGAGUAUCACUGCAGCCCACCAAGUAAGGGAAGAACCCACAGGCCCAGUCCAAUCAUGAGAAAAGCAUCAGACAAAUUCCAAUAGUGGGGCAUCCUACUAAAUACCCAACCAGAACUCCUUAGAACUGUCAAGGUCAUCAGAAACAAGACAAGUCUAAGAAGAAACAGCCACAGCCAAGAGGCACCUACAGAAACAAAAUGGAAAUGUGGUUUCCUGGAUGGGAUCCUGGAACAGAAAAAGGACAUUAGGGAAAAACUAAGAAAACGUGAAUCAACUAUUGUAUUAGUUCAUUUUCUGUUGCUUAUAGCAGAAUACCUGAAACUAGAUAACUUAUAAAGAAAAGUAGUUGUUUUCUUACAGUUAUGGAGUCUGAGAAGUCAAAGGUCAAGGGGCAGCAUCUGGUGAGGGCCUUCUUGCUGGUGGGGACUCUGCAGAGUACAGAGGUGGUUCAGGGUAUCCUAUAACGAGGGGGCUGAGUAAGCUAGCUCGGGUCUUUCUUCCUCUUCUUAUAAAGCCACCAGUCCCACUCCCAUGAUAUCCCAGCAAUCCAUUAAUUCAUGAAUGGAUUAACCCAUUCAUGAGUGCAGAGCCACAUAACCCAAUCACCUCUUAAAGGCCUCACCUCUCAAUACUGCCAGAUUGGGGGUUAAGUUUCAGCAUGAAUUUUGGAGGCAACAAAUACUCAAACCACAGCAACUAUAGACUUUAGUUAUUAUAAUAAAGAUGUAUCAAUAUAUUGAUAACUUUUUUUUUUUGAGAUGGACCUCAGGGUCCAUGCACAUGCUGUUUCUCCCCAACAAUAUCUAUUCUCUUCUGUAUCUUCAGCAACCUCCGGCCCAGCCCACACAUAAACCCACUCAGCCUAAGCUCUCAGUCGAUUCCCUGGGAAGCCAUCCUCAGCUACCCAGACUAAGUGAGGUUGUGGGUCGCAUCCAUCCAGGGUGCUGCACUUCUCCCCUAGUAACUCAUUGCUCCAUGUCUAUCUGCCAGCACUGGAUGCUCCUUGAGGGCAGGACGGUGCCUGUCUUCCAGACCUCUGUGUCCUGUCCCUAGCACAGUGAUUGGCCCAGAGUAAUCCCAAGUUCAUGUUGCUGAAUGGCUCAGAUGUGUAAAUGAAUGAGAUUCAGAAGCAACCCACACAGAGUGGGCUCCAGGGCUAAAGGUGAGAUCACCCAGUGUGCCUUCUAUGACAGGUUGAGAGCCGUGAGCCCAUCUGACCUCAGGAAAGAAAGACAUAGAGCAAAUGGGUACCACUUGUGUCUGCUGGUGCCAGGAGGCACCAGAGAUGCUCUCUGACCCUAACACUGCAUCAGCAAAAGGUCUGAAGGUUGAAAUUUUUAUUUUAGAUUUCAUCAAAAAUCUACUCUAGCCCUUGGAUAAGUUCUUUUAAAAAAAAUGAGGUAUAACUUACAUACCAAAAAAUAGUAAAAUUCACUCUUUUUAAGUAUAUAGUUCCACAAAUUUUACAGAACAUUUCCAUCACCCCCCACAAAGAUCUCUUCAUGCUCAUUUGUAGUCAAUACAAAUCCCAGCCCCCAGUGCCCACUGAUCUGUUUUCCAUUCCUUAUUGUUUUGCCUUUCCCAGAAUCUCAUCUAGACUGAAUCAUGUAGAAUGUAGUCUUUUGAGUCCAGUCUUUCUCACUUAGCCUAAUGCAUUUGCGAUUCAUCAAUUUAGUUGCAUGAAUCAAUAGCUUGUUCCUUUUUAUGGGUGAGUAAUAUUCCUUGGCAUAGAUAUACCACAAUUUGUUGAUCCUUUCACCAGUGGAUAGAUAUCUGGGUUGUUUCAAAUUUGGGGCAAUUAUGAAGAAUACAUGCAUACAAGUUUUUAGGUAGACAUAUAUUUUCAUCGUUCAUAGGUAAAUAUCUAAAAAUGGGAUUGCUGGGUCAUAUUGUGGAUUUAUGUUUACCUUUAUAAGAAACUGAAG
ensembl:lncRNA novel transcript, antisense to TACC2